rnacentral:rRNA from 1 species
GAUGAACGCUGGCGGCGUGCCUAAUACAUGCCAGUCGAGCGAACAGACGAGGAGCUUGCUCCUCUGACGUUAGCGGCGGACGGGUGAGUAACACGUGGAUAACCUACCUAUAAGACUGGGAUAACUUCGGGAAACCGGAGCUAAUACCGGAUAAUAUAUUGAACCGCAUGGUUCAAUAGUGAAAGACGGUUUUGCUGUCACUUAUAGAUGGAUCCGCGCCGCAUUAGCUAGUUGGUAAGGUAACGGCUUACCAAGGCAACGAUGCGUAGCCGACCUGAGAGGGUGAUCGGCCACACUGGAACUGAGACACGGUCCAGACUCCUACGGGAGGCAGCAGUAGGGAAUCUUCCGCAAUGGGCGAAAGCCUGACGGAGCAACGCCGCGUGAGUGAUGAAGGUCUUCGGAUCGUAAAACUCUGUUAUUAGGGAAGAACAAAUGUGUAAGUAGCUAUGCACGUCUUGACGGUACCUAAUCAGAAAGCCACGGCUAACUACGUG